AUUUAGGCGCUUAAGGGAACAAUAACUGAACUAGUAAUGUUCACAAACAAAAGAAUUCUAGGGAUCACAUGGCGGAAGAGAUAGCCGCACACAUCAUUCUAGAGUGUGAGCCACAUACGGAGCCAAACACGGGUCACAGAGGACUCUGAUCGAGAUCAUGGGUAAGAUUCGCCACCCACACCACCAGACAAAAUACGCCGAGUUACGGAAAAUGGCCCGUGCUUUCCGCCCGAAGCAGUUUCACACUCCAGUAUUUUAAUAAUAUUAAAACUACCUCGUAUUUUGGAUGAAUACACAAUCAAAACCUUUAAAAAGUACCCCCAGAAGAAAUCAGGUCUCGUACCCGAGAGAUAACAUGGUCCCUGAUACUAAGUCUCGUCGGUCGGUCCGUUUAUCUGAGAAUAGUAUUAGGAUUUCUGUUGGUAAGCCUUCGUGUACGGAACCCUGAAAUGAAAUCUAGUAACUACAACGGAAAACUAGUUCGAAAAGUAAGUGGCGGUCAAAAAGAGAAUCAAGGAAACAAGGAAAGACAUUCUCGUAGAAUAUUAUUCUGCUCGUACCAUAACC